AGAAACAUGACAAAGAGGAAGAGGACUCCCCAACCUUCUGGAGAUCUGAGGAGGAGAUGGCUGCAGAAGCUGAGGCACUGCGUGUUUACUUUCAGGCAUGAAAGUAACUCAAACAAAUCCUAAGGCAUACGGAAAUGGUCCUCGUUCUUCUGGACUCUGCAGCAUUGGAAAUGAAGCUGAGCAUACUUUAUUAUAUCCCACAAUUCUGCAGCUUUUUGCAAAGCAUUUUAUUGCACUUGUGGAAGCCACUAAGGUUAUGUUUCAAUCACAGUGACUGACAGGCUAACUUCACAAACAGUAGCAUAGACUGUCUGCCACAGUUUCUCAGUUAUAUACUUAGAAUAGGCCCUUUUCCAAAACUGUCCCUUAGCCUGGAUGAAAAUAAAGUGAUAGCUAAAAUAUUUA